rnacentral:rRNA from 1 species
AGUGAACGCUGGCGGUAGGCCUAACACAUGCAAGUCGAACGGCAGCACAGUAAGAGCUUGCUCUUACGGGUGGCGAGUGGCGGACGGGUGAGGAAUACAUCGGAAUCUACUUUUUCGUGGGGGAUAACGUAGGGAAACUUACGCUAAUACCGCAUACGACCUACGGGUGAAAGCAGUGGAGCUUCGGACCUUGCGCGAUUGAAUGAGCCGAUGUCGGAUUAGCUAGUUGGCGGGGUAAAGGCCCACCAAGGCGACGAUCCGUAGCCGAUCUGAGAGGAUGAGCGAGCACACUGUGACUGAGACUCGUCCCAGACUCCUACGCGACGCAGCCGAAGGGGAUCUGCCGCAAGGGGCGGAAGCCUGAUGAAGCAACGCGGCGGGAGUAAAGAAGGUCUACGGAUCGUAAAACGCUGUUAUUAGGGAAGAACAAAAGGGUAAGUAACUACGCACGUCUGGACGGUACCGAAUCAGAAAGCCACGGCUAACUACGUG